rnacentral:lncRNA from 1 species
GAUGGUAAUUUGAGCCAUGGAAGCAGCAGUGGACUUUAAUAGCCUUCAAUACUCCCUACACAGAGGUAUUCCUGAAGGGCUCUAAUGGAUGAGGUGCACCCUGCUGUGACCACAGCCCAGUUGCAGGGUGCACAAUUAACAAACAUACAGUUUGCAGAGUAGCAUAGUUAGAACAGUAUUUUACAGAUUUUAUAUUUAAAAAGAUUACUGCGACAGUAAGUAAUCAACAGUCAAAAGCAACAAUCAAAAAUAAAUGAAAUGCCCACUCGUGUCCUAGGCUUACAGUAGAAAACACUAAAGGGAGGGAUCUCCAGAAAGAGACUGUCACAGAGUUAUCUCUAGAUCUGAGUCUGUGAUGGGGGCACAAACCCAGGUGUGGUAGUGAGGGUCUGGCGCCCGGAAGAUAUCGCGUUGUACGGGAAGACAGGGUCCCCCUCCCGAUAGCCAAUAGCGUUCAGUGCCCAGGUUAUAUAAGGCUGUUUUUCCUGCCAAUAAACGCCAUUUGCUGUCCACCACAUUGGUGUCAGCGAGCCGAUGGACCGAGCGACCUGGGAUUGGUCGCCGUGCCGUUCCCGAACCAGGUCGCCACGCCUACGAUAGGCAACAAGUGGUGCCGAAACCCGGGAUUGUCGCCUGGACGGGUGAACGGCGGCCGGAGCGGCAGGACCAGCCCGGCGGGGAGGGCGCUCCCGGACCAACAAGGAGGAUGGAAGUCCUUGUGAAGGCAGCAGUCGACUCCUCGACCCUGCCUGCGGAAGCGAAAGGCCCGGUUGCCACCAAGGCGGCCCACAAGAGUGCGCCGGCCACAGGCGGCGUGACCAGCCCGGCACGGUGGUGCUGCACAAGAUCCGCCGCUACUGGAAAUCCACGGAGCUGCUGAUCCGCAAGCUGCCCUUCCAGCGCCUGGUGUGCAAGAUCACACAGGACUUCAAGACCGACCUGCGCUUCCAGAGCCCAGCCGUAGGUGAGCGAGGCCUACCUGGUGGGGCUCUUCAAGGCACCAUCAUGCCCGAGGACAUCCAGCUCACCUGGCGCAUCCAUGGGGAGUGCACCUGAGGCCACAGCCCAUCCGCUUUUUUCUUCCGAUUAACAUCAUGUUGGUAGAGCACCAACAACUGUUAUAAGAAUGUUCUUGUUCAGAGCACCUUAUGUUUUCUAUUCGAGUUUUCUAUUGAAGAUUGUUCUAUUCGAGUUUUCUAUUGAAGAUUGUUCUAUAUUGUUAUAUUUUACCUAAUUUAAUUGUGCAUAGGGAGGGGGGAAAUGUGGUAGUGAGGGUCUGGCGCCCGGAAGAUAUCGCGUUGUACGGGAAGACAGGGUCCCCCUCCCGAUAGCCAAUAGCGUUCAGUGCCCAGGUUAUAUAAGGCUGUUUUUCCCGCCAAUAAACGCCAUUUGCCGUCCA